rnacentral:rRNA from 1 species
UUAUAUGAGAGUUUGAUCCUGGCUCAGAGCGAACGCUGGCGGCGUGCCUAACACAUGCAAGUCGAGCGGACUAUAAAAAGGGGUAACUCUUUUUAUAGUUAGCGGCGAACGGGUGAGUAACACGUGGGUAACCUGCCCUCAGGUGGGGGAUAACUCGGGGAAACCUGAGCUAAUACCCCAUAAGACUACGAGCUGAAAUGCUUGUAGUAAAAGGAGUAAUUCGCCUGAGGAUGGGCCCGCGGCCUAUCAGGUAGUUGGUAGGGUAAUGGCCUACCAAGCCUAUGACGGGUAGCUGGCCUGAG